GACAGAGGGUGCAAACGUUGUUCGGAAUUACUGGGCGUAAAGCGUGCGCAGGCGGUUCGUUGUGUCGGUGGUGAAAUCCCCGGGCUUAACCUGGGAAUGGCCAUGGAAACUGGCGAACUGGAGUGCGGCAGAGGGGGGUGGAAUUCCGCGUGUAGCAGUGAAAUGCGUAGAUAUGCGGAGGAACACCGAUGGCGAAGGCAAUCCCCUGGACCUGUACUGACGCUCUGCACGAAAGCGUGGGGAGCAAACAGG
rnacentral:rRNA from 1 species